rnacentral:rRNA from 1 species
UGCUUAGGAAUCUACCAAGUAGUGGGGGAUAGCCAUUGGAAACGAUGAUUAAUACCGCAUAUAUCCUACGGGGGAAAGCAGGGGAUCUUCGGACCUUGCGCUAUUUGAUGAGCCUGAGUGAGAUUAGCUAGUUGGUGGGGUAAAGGCCUACCAAGGCGACGAUCCCUAGCUGGUCUGAGAGGAUGAUCAGCCACACUGGGACUGAGACACGGUCCAGACUCCUACGGGAGGCAGCAGUGGGGAAUAUUGCGCAAUGGGGGAAACCCUGACGCAGCCACGCCACGUGAGUGAUGAAGGCCU